GACGAACGCUGGCGGCGUGCCUAAUACAUGCAAGUAGAACGCUGAAGGAGGAGCUUGCUUCUCUGGAUGAGUUGCGAACGGGUGAGUAACGCGUAGGUAACCUGCCUGGUAGCGGGGGAUAACUAUUGGAAACGAUAGCUAAUACCGCAUAAGAGUAGAUGUUGCAUGACAUUUGCUUAAAAGGUGCAAUUGCAUCACUACCAGAUGGACCUGCGUUGUAUUAGCUAGUUGGUGGGGUAACGGCUCACCAAGGCGACGAUACAUAGCCGACCUGAGAGGGUGAUCGGCCACACUGGGACUGAGACACGGCCCAGACUCCUACGGGAGGCAGCAGUAGGGAAUCUUCGGCAAUGGACGGAAGUCUGACCGAGCAACGCCGCGUGAGGGAAGAAGGUUUUCGGAUCGUAAAGCUCUGUUGUAAGAGAAGAACGAGUGUGAGAGUGGAAAGUUCACACUGUAACGGUAUCUUACCAGAAAGGGACGGCUAACUACGUG
rnacentral:rRNA from 1 species